rnacentral:rRNA from 1 species
CCUACGGGUGGCAGCAGUGGGGAAUUUUGGACAAUGGGGGCAACCCUGAUCCAGCCAUUCCGCGUGAGUGAAGAAGGCCUUCGGGUUGUAAAGCUCUUUCGGCCGGGAAGAAAUCGCAUCUCCUAAUACGGGGUGUGGAUGACGGUACCGGAAGAAGAAGCACCGGCUAACUACGUGCCAGCAGCCGCGGUAAUACGUAGGGUGCGAGCGGUGAUCGGAGUUCGCGGGCGGCACGCUUGCGCAGGCGGCUAAGCCCCGGGCUUAACCUGGGAACUGCGUUUGUGACUGGUGGGCUUGAGUGCGGCAGAGGGGGGUGGAAUUCCACGUGUAGCAGUGAAAUGCGUAGAGAUGUGGAGGAACACCGAUGGCGAAGGCAGCCCCCUGGGUCGACACUGACGCUCAUGCACGAAAGCGUGGGGAGCAAACAGGAUUAGAUACCCGAGUAGUC